rnacentral:misc_RNA from 1 species
UACAGAGGCCUCAAGCGUUAUCCGGAAUUAUUGGGCGUAAAGGGUGCGUAGGUGGCUCUAUUAGUCGCGGGUGAAAGACCGAUGCUUAACAUCGGGAACGCCUUCGAAACGGUAGAGCUUGAGUGUGAGAGAGGUAGAGGGAACUCAUGGUGUAGGGGUGAAAUCCGUUGAUAUCAUGGGGAACACCAAAGGCGAAGGCACUCUACUGGCUCACUACUGACACUCAUGCACGAAACCCUGGGUAGCGAAUGGG